AGUGAACGCUGGCGGUAGGCCUAACACAUGCAAGUCGAACGGCAGCACAGUAAGAGCUUGCUCUUACGGGUGGCGAGUGGCGGGCGGGUGAGGAAUACAUCGGAAUCUACUUUUUCGUGGGGGAUAACGUAGGGAAACUUACGCUACUACCGCAUACGACCUACGGGUGAAAGCAGGGGAUCUUCGGAGUUUGGGCGAUUCAAUGAGCCGAUGUCGGAUUAGCUAGUUGGCGGGGUAAAGGCCCACCAAGGCGACGAUCCGUAGCUGGUCUGAGAGGAUGAUCGGCCACACUGGAACUGAGACACGGUCCAGACUCCUACGGGAGGCAGCAGUGGGGAAUAUUCGACAAUGGGCGAAAGCCUGAUCCAGCCAUACCGCGUGGGUGAAGAAGGCCUUCGGGUUGUAAAGCCCUUUUGUUGGGAAAGAAAAGCAGCAGGUUAAUACCCCGCUGUUCUGACGGUACCCAAAGAAUAAGCACCGGCUAACUUCGUG
rnacentral:rRNA from 1 species